AGUGAACGCUGGCGGUAGGCCUAACACAUGCAAGUCGAACGGCAGCACAGUAAGAGCUUGCUCUUACGGGUGGCGAGUGGCGGACGGGUGAGGAAUACAUCGGAAUCUACUUUUUCGUGGGGGAUAACGUAGGGAAACUUACGCUAAUACCGCAUACGACCUACGGGUGAAAGCAGGGGAUCUUCGGACCUUGCGCGAUUGAAUGCGCCGAUGUCGGAUUAGCUAGUUGGCGGGGUAAAGACCCACCAAGGCGACGAUCCGUAGCUGGUCUGAGAGGAUGAUCAGCCACACUGGAACUGAGACACGGUCCAGACUCCUACGGGAGGCAGCAGUGGGGAAUAUUGGACAAUGGGCGCAAGCCUGAUCCAGCCAUACCGCGUGUGUGAAGAAGGCCUUCGGGUUGUAAAGCCCUUUUGUUGGGAAAGAAAAGCAGCAGGUUAAUACCCCGCUGUUCUGACGGUACCCACAGAAUAAGCACCGGCUAACUUCGUG
rnacentral:rRNA from 1 species